rnacentral:lncRNA from 1 species
UCAUGUAUAUGUACAUAUUUGUAGCUUAUCGGGGAUAUCAAUAAAUAAGCUUUCCUUCAUUUCAACGUAUUGUGUUAAAUACACCAAAGCCUUCUUCGCUAAGUUCUUUGAAUUUUCUUUUGUUAAAGCUUGUAUGUUGAAGCUUUCUGAGUGGAGCGUGUAGGUUGGGGUAGUGUUCCCUUAAUUUCCCGAGUGAGGAAAACUUCUCGGUUGGAGACUUGGAAAAUUCAAGUCACUGAGUGGGAUCGGCUAUAUGAAUCUUAGAACGCCAUUGUGCUCGAUCCUGUGUCAUGUCCUUCGUUAGAUCCAAGUACUCUAAGUCUUUUCUUAGAGUCUCUUCCAAAGUUUUCCUAGGUCUUCCUCUACCCCUC